AUUCUUAGAGGAUAAAUUAUUGCAUGUUUUGUUCUCGAACUUUAAUUUAUUAAAAUUUUUGCUUAAAUUUUUUUUUUUUUUUUUUAGAGAUAGGUAGCACGCUACCCGCUUCGUUUAUUUCAUUUAGAAAUAAACUUAGCUGGAAAGGUGAAUCAAUUAGGAUUUGAACUUGGGUCUCAGGUACCAACCAUCAAAUCUUUUGCCACUUACUCUAGGGACGGUCAGUAUUUUUGCUUAAAAUUUUAAACUAUGUUAAUCAAGUCUUAUAAUCUAUUUUAGUUGAUUAAAUAAUAGUGUGUUAUUAAUAUGGAAAUAAUAUAUAUAGUAAUAUUGUGAUCGGUGAUGAUGCGUCAAUAAUUAAGAUAUCACAUCACUUUUAUCUCAACGAUGCGUUAAUAUUUAGUCAACUAAAUUGGAUUAUGAGACUUAAUUAUAAUAAUAAUUUUAAAAAUUUGAGUAAAAAAUUGUGAUAAACUAAAGUUUAAUAU
rnacentral:lncRNA from 1 species